UGGGGAAUCUUGCACAAUGGGGGAAACCCUGAUGCAGCGACGCCGCGUGAGCGAUGAAGCCCUUCGGGGUGUAAAGCUCUUUCGGCAGGAACGAUAAUGACGGUACCUGCAGAAGAAGCUGCGGCUAACUACGUGCCAGCAGCCGCGGUAAUACGUAGGCAGCAAGCGUUGUUCGGAAUUACUGGGCGUAAAGAGUGUGUAGGUGGUGUCGUAAGUUUGGUGUGAAAUCUCCCGGCUUAACUGGGAGGGUGCGCCGAAGACUGCGAUGCUGGAGUAUGGGAGAGGAAAGCGGAAUUCCUGGUGUAGCGGUGAAAUGCGCAGAUAUUAGGAAGAACACCGGUGGCGAAGGCGGCUCUCUGGAACGAUACUGACACUGAGACGCGAAAGCGUGGGUAGCGAACAGGAUUAGAUACCCUAGUAGUCCCUGAGCGGGCUGGCAAGGCGCAU
rnacentral:rRNA from 1 species